rnacentral:tRNA from 1 species
AGGGGUAUAGCUCAGCUGGUAGAGCAGCGGAUUCCAAAUCCGCAGGUCCCGGGUUCGAGCCCUGGUGCCCCUGCCA